rnacentral:rRNA from 1 species
CAGUCGCCGCGGUAAUACGUAUGUCACAAGCGUUAUCCGGAUUUAUUGGGCGUAAAGCGCGUCUAGGUGGUUAUGUAAGUCUGAUGUGAAAAUGCAGGGCUCAACUCUGUAUUGCGUUGGAAACUGUGUAACUAGAGUACUGGAGAGGUAAGCGGAACUACAAGUGUAGAGGUGAAAUUCGUAGAUAUUUGUAGGAAUGCCGAUGGGGAAGCCAGCUUACUGGACAGAUACUGACGCUAAAGCGCGAAAGCGUGGGUAGCAAACAGGAUUAGAUACCCCUGUAGUCCCUGUCUCUUAUACA